AUAGGAUGAAUAAACCCAAGAUAUGUUUCUUGUAGUUGAGUUAGGUGAGUAUUAGUUUAGAAGUUUCAAUCUUGGUUGUUUGAGAAAUUCUUAAAUCAUAGAUGGAAGGGUCGUUUUAGUCAGAGCGAUGCUUAGAUAAGCAAGGAGGUUGGAGGGCAGAUUAGUAUACUAUUUUUCAUGGGUCGGUGUCGAUUACCAAUUUGGAGUUGCAGAAUGGGAGUUUGAUUGUGCAGAAGUGGAGAUUUGGGAGCUGGUUUGAUGGGUUGAUUAACGGUGAGGCUUACACUCGAAGAGCCUGAACCUGGCUCACUGUUGUCAAGCUAACACAUUCGGAUAUUCCCGAGGAAGACAGAUAUUGGAAUGCAACUGUGGUGGAGAAUACAGAGAGAGUUUGUCGGGAUCUUUUUUUCCAGAGGAUACGGGCAUGUUUUUGGUUUUGGAAUUUGACAUACUUGGGCUCCUUGAGCUCUCACGCUUGCACUCAUGAAUCUCUCUGAAGUCCAUACUGUCUGUUACUUCAAAAACCGUGAAGCUGAUGGAUCGUUCGAAGUGAUUGUCGGAGUUGCUUCAGUUUGAGAGCUAGAAGGUAGUGAAAGCCAUACCUUAGAAAUGAAUGGCUACAUGUACUGAUAAUAAUAUACAGAGGCUGAAUUAAGAUUUUGUCUGCUACAGUUCAUAGGGGAUGGAGGGAUGAUUACCUAAUGGGUUAAUUGGCUUGUUAAUUUAUGGACCUUGCUUAAUGUCUGAUUACUGUGGUGUUUUAAUGGAAAUACAAUUUCUACUU